GGGAGAGGAGACCCAGCCUUGGGAUUUCCAGCUCUCUCCACUUGGUGAUCGACACUGAACACAGGAGACUCACCAUGGAGUUUGUACUGAGCUGGGUUUUCCUUGUUGCUAUUUUAAAAGGUGUCCAGUGUGAGGUGCAGCUGGUGGAGUCUGGGGGAGGCUUGGUCCAGCCUGGCGGGUCCCUGAGACUCUCCUGUGCAGCCUCUGGAUUCACCUUCAGUAGUUCUGCUAUGCACUGGGUCCGCCAGGCUUCUGGGAAAGGACUGGAGUGGGUUGGGUAUAUUAGAAGCAAAUCUAACAAUUACGCGACACAAUACGCUGCAUCGGUGAAAGGCAGAUUCACCAUCUCCAGAGAUGAUUCAAAGAACACCCUGUAUCUGCAAAUGAGCAGCCUGAAAACCGAGGACACGGCCGUGUAUUACUGUACUACAUACACAGUGAGGCGAGGUCAGUGUCAGCCCAGACACAAACCCUCCUGCAGGGGCGCGCGGGGCCACCAGGGGGCGCUCGGGACCCACUGA